AGAUGAGUGGGAAUGCAUGGACCCUGCCCAGAGGACCUUGUACCAGGACGUGAUGGUGGAGACCCUCAGGAACCAGCUGUCUGUGGCAUGCUUGCAGCAUCUCACUCUGGGGGUAAGGACUGGGAAUGUGGGUUCGGCUGAAGAAUUCUCAGAGGAGACAGAGGAGAUAGGGUAAGUGAUGAUGGUUGCUAUAUCUGUUCUAGACAUUUCAAGUCUAAUUGAUCCUUACCCCAUGUGUUCACUUAAUUACUCAAUAAAAAAAAGAUGUGAGGAAUCCUGAAAAGCCCGAUAGAUCUAGUGUCUUGAAGUGCCACCUUGUUUUAGUCUGCUGUGUCUGCUCACUGCAGCCCCCAGGUCUUCUAAUCUCUGUCCAUCCAGGGACCAUUUGCCAUCUUGGACAGCAGCUUUGCUUUCUAGCAGUUCAUCUACUCAGAGUGGGGGAUGCUGAGUUUACUACUGUGGUUAGAGUGG
rnacentral:lncRNA from 1 species